UGCUAUGAAAUUUUACUCGAAGAUAAAGAUCACACUUAGCCAAAGCUUAUGAAUGGUCACCCUUAAAUAAACAACAUGGACUACUAAAUUGGUAAAAUUAAGAAUUCAGCAUCAAAGCAUGGCUCAAAAGUAGCAUAUAUCAAACUCAG